CAGACAUUGGAAUGGUUCCUGUGAAAGAUGACGCAGGAGACGUUGUGACCUGGGAGUAUGUUCAGGACGAGGAGGAUGAGGAUGAGGUCAAGGACAUGCUGGAGCAGCAGUCGAAAGACCUGAAGGUUUUUGUGGACACCACAGGACAUGCCUCCUUUGGCUGUGGGUGAGUUCUAUUCCAGUUA